GGUGGUGUAGCUCAGUGCUAGAGUGUGUGCUUAGCAUGCAUGAGGUCCUGGGUUCAAUCCCCAGUACCUCCA
rnacentral:tRNA from 1 species